rnacentral:rRNA from 1 species
CCCAACUCCGUCUCCAACCUAUAUCAUUUUCAAGUGUUCUGCGAAGUGCAUCUUCAAGAAGAGCCCACUGUUGACCUCUUCCGAGAUUACUUUUAUAUCAACCGCCAGACUGAAAUGUCAGAUGGGCCUAGUCUUGAGCUUGGAGGCGUUUCCAUCCAGAGGCGGAGAAAUCUAACUUUUCCCUCAGUUGCACUGCCCAGCCACCCCAAGGACUGGAACUACACCUGGUUCUAUUGCAGGGACACCUCCCCAGCUGGAGAAACUCCCUUGACGGGUUACCGCCCCUACCGGCUCACCACCAGUGGCGUGCUUCCAGGUCGAUUGACUGCCACAGAGCACGCCCAAUAUGCCUCCACUUUUUAA